rnacentral:rRNA from 1 species
CUUAGAGUUUGAUCCUGGCUCAGGAUGAACGCUGGCGGCGUGCUUAACACAUGCAAGUCGAACGAAGCCCUCGGACUUAGUGGCGGACGGGUGAGUAACGCGUGAGAAUCUACCUUCGAGAUGGGGACAACCGUUGGAAACGACGGCUAAUCCCCAAUAAGCCGCAAGGUGAAAUGGGUUUCCGCUCGAAGAGGAGCUCGCGUCCGAUUAGUUAGUUGGUGGGGUAAAAGCCUACCAAAGCGUCGAUCGGUAGCUGGUCUGAGAGGAUGAGCAGCCACACUGGGACUGAGACACGGCCCAGACUCCUACGGGAGGCAGCAGUGGGGAAUUUUCCGCAAUGGGCGCAAGCCUGACGGAGCAACGCCGCGUGUGGGAAGAAGGCUCUUGGGCUGUCAACCACUUUUCUCAGGGAAGAAGACCUGACGGUACCUGAGGAAUCAGCCUCGGCUAACUCCGUGCCAGCAGCCGCGGUAAUACGGAGGAGGCAAGCGUUAUCCGGAAUUAUUGGGCGUAAAGCGUCCGCAGGGGGCGCAUCAAGUCUGCUGUCAAAGGUCGGAGCUUAACUCCGGUUGGGCAGUGGAAACUGGUGCGCUAGAGGGCGACAGGGGUAGAGGGAAUUCCCAGUGUAGCGGUGAAAUGCGUAGAGAUUGGGAAGAACACCGGUGGCGAAAGCGCUCUACUGGGUCGCACCUGACCCUCAGGGACGAAAGCUAAGGUAGCGAAAGGGAUUAGAUACCCCUGUAGUCUUAGCCGUAAACGAUGGAUACUAGGCGUGGUUUGUAUCGACCCAAGCCGUGCCGAAGCUAACGCGUUAAGUAUCCCGCCUGGGGAGUACGCACGCAAGUGUGAACUCAAAGGAAUUGACGGGGCCGCACAGCGGUGGAGGUGUGGUUUAUUCGAUGCACGCGAGACCUACAGGCUCGACAUCCCCGCAUCCCAUGAAGUGGGGG